rnacentral:lncRNA from 1 species
CACUUCACUGCCUUCUUGAUCUUUCUGUUGUCUACAUGUCCGGAAAGUUUCAUCCUUCUGAAGAAUUCCACUUAAUUAGAAACAAAACAGUUGGAAAACAAGAGGCACAGUGUAAUUAAAAAAUUGCACAGCCUAACAUCAGCUACUGCUUUACAGUAUGCUGCAAUCUAGUUCUGGGUGUGCUGCAGAACACUGCAUAAUACAGCUAGAGUUGCCUGGCAACAAACAGCAACUCUAUCAGAAAGCAGCAAAGGUGUGAAUGAAUAAACAAAAGUGACGGUAACGUGAAAAUGCCCUGUAAAACCAUGUUCAGUACGAGAAUGUCUGACAGUAUUUCAAGGGGAAUUUUGGGUCAAAUUCUUCUCACAGUUAAACUGCAAUUAAGAAGAAGAAAAAAUAAACCUCAAGAUGGAACAGAAAAGUUUGUACUUCUAUGGCUACUCUUGAUCCCGUUUCAACAGAAUAGAAAGUGAAGGAUUAUGGAAGAAUAUGUUCAAUUUCAAAAUUGAAGAGAAGUAUCAAAAUGCAAGUGCGCUAGAAACCUCUUCUUGGUUUUAUGUCAAAAUUCCAACACUUCUGUGGAUUAAGAAAAAAAUGACAAUCGAGACAUUUUUGACUGGUGUUAAUAAAGGCAAGCUACAUUCUCUUGUAUUUGAAAUUGUGCCCUUGAGCAGUGUGAAGAACCAAAAUAUAGUCACAUGGAUUUCCUCUACUCCCUGAGGAAAGGGUAGCUAUCAAUUUGCUUACAAAUGAAAAGAGCUCACAC